GUGGUAACACACACUGGAGGACCGAACCGACUAGUGUUGCAAAAUUAGCGGAUGAGCUGUGGAUAGGGGUGAAAGGCUUAACAAAUCUGGAGAUAGCUGGUUCUCCCCGAAAACUAUUGAGGUAGUGCCUCGUGUAUUGCUCCAGGGGGUAGAGCACUGUUAUGGCUAGGGGGACAUGGCGUCUUACCAAACCAUGGCAAACUCCGAAUACUUGGAAGUAAGAGCACGGGAGACAGAGCACCGGGUGCUAACGUCCGGACUCAAGAGGGAAACAACCCAGACCGCCGUUUAAGGUCCCAAAUAUUGACUAAGUGGAAAACGAAGUGUGAAGGCUAAGACAGUCAGGAAGUUGGCUUAGAAGCAGCCAUCCUUCAAAGAAAGCGUAAUAGCUCACUGAUCGAGUCCUCAUGCGCGGAAGAUGUAACGGGGCUAAGUCAAUAACCGAAAGCGCGGAUUUGCAUGAAAAUGCAAGUGGUAGGGGAGCGUUCUGUAAGCCUGCGAAGGUGGUUCGAGAGGACUGCUGGAGGUAUCAGAAGUGCGAAUGCUGACAUGAGUAACGUUAAAGCGGGUGAAAAGCCCGCUCGCCGUAAGCCCAAGGUUUCCUGCUCUACGUUCAUCGGAGCAGGGUGAGUCGGCCCCUAAGGCCAGGCUGAGAAGCGUAGUCGAUGGGAAGCAGAUUAAUAUUUCUGCACCAUGUGCAAGUGCGAUGGGGGGACGGAGUGCGAAAGAUCAUCCGGGUGUUGGAUGUCCCGGUUUGUGAGUGUAGAAGGCCGACAGGCAAAUCCGUCGGCGGAUCUUCGAGACAAAGCAUCGAGGUUCUACGGAACCGAAGUGAUCGGAAGUGCUUCCAGGAAAAGCCUCUAAGCUUCAGCUUGCAUAUGACCGUACCGUAAACCGACACUGGUGGGCGAGUUGAAUAUACUCAGGCGCUUGAGAGAACUCGGGAGAAGGAACUCGGCAAAUUGACACCGUAACUUCGGGAUAAGGUGUGCCUUUGUAGCGUGAAGAGAGAAACACUCGGAGCGUGAAGAGGCCUCAGAGAAUCGGUGGCUGCAACUGUUUAUUAAAAACACAGCACUCUGCAAAGACGAAAGUCGACGUAUAGGGUGUGAUGCCUGCCCGGUGCUGGAAGAUUAAGUGAUGGGGUGAGAGCUCCUGAUCGAAGUCCCAGUAAACGGCGGCCGUAACUAUAACGGUCCUAAGGUAGCGAAAUUCCUUGUCGGGUAAGUUCCGACCUGCACGA
rnacentral:rRNA from 1 species